rnacentral:rRNA from 1 species
UACGGAGGGUGCAAGCGUUGUUCGGAAUUACUGGGCGUAAAGCGCGUGUAGGUGGCUUUUUAUGUCGGGUGUGAAAGCCCUGGGCCUAACCCAGGAAGUGCGCCCGAAACUGGAAAGCUUGAGUACGAUAGAGGAGGAUGGAAUUCCUAGUGUAGAGGUGAAAUUCGUAGAUAUUAGGAAGAACACCGGUGGCGAAAGCGGUUCUCUGGAUCGAUACUGACACUGAGACGCGAAAGCGUGGGGAGCAAACAGG